UACGUAGGGGGCAAGCGUUGUCCGGAAUUAUUGGGCGUAAAGAGCGCGUAGGCGGUCCGAUAAGUCGGCUGUGAAAGUCAGGGGCUCAACCCUUGAAAGCCGGCCGAUACUGUCGGACUAGAGUCCGGAAGAGGCAAGUGGAAUUCCCGGUGUAGCGGUGAAAUGCGCAGAUAUCGGGAGGAACACCAAUGGCGAAGGCAGCUUGCUGGGACGGUACUGACGCUGAGGCGCGAAAGC
rnacentral:rRNA from 1 species